GCUAUUUUGGUUUGACUGCGCAUGCGUUGCCACGUUCAUUUAGACUUGACUUGACUUAGCAGCAGCCGUCGUUUUGUCUGACACGUCAACUCUUUUACAUCGUUGAUAACAGCGAAAAGGUAGACCUUUACGUGUGUGUGAUACCUUAAACUUCCUGGAAGCAGCCAAACGAUGCACCAUGUGAUCAACUCCAAAUUACUUGCGAAUGAAAAAGCAUCAGUGGUACGACAAGUUUAAGAACAUAUCAGCCCACCAGGGUUUUCUUGGAGGGAAAGGAUUCAAAGACGGGGGUAGCCUCCAUACAGCAGAUCAGACUAGAACUUUGAUUUAAAGGCAGUGCUGGAAGACAUUCAAGUCUGUACUCCUUGGGCAAGUGGAAGGAAGCCCCGAUCCUGGGGCUAGUUCCCGAUCCUAGGGCUAGUUGGCGCGAGACCUGCUGGUCACCAUAGAUCUUGAAGUGACUGCACCCCUGUCUGGUGUAUCGGACACGGAUCAUUUAUACGCCAAGAUGGGGCAAACUCCGUGGUCAGCGGUCAUCAACCUUAGUAACAGCAUCAUAGGGGUCAGUGUCCUGGCCAUGCCAUGGUGUUUCAAAGAGUGUGGAGUGGUUUUGGCCAUUUUGCUGCUCUUUAUCACUGGCAUUGUGAACAAGUUCAGUUGCAACCUUCUUCUGAAAUCAAGUAAAGCUACCAGGAAAUAUUCCUAUGAAACGCUCUCUCAUCAUACUUUGGGAGGUAUGGGAAAACUUGCAGUAGAAAUUAGCGUAAUCUUAUUACUGAUGUGUACAUGCAUAGCAUUCUUUGUUAUUAUUGGUGAUCUUGGCCCAUCGUUGGUGUCAAAGUUUUGGGGCAUUGAGAAUACCUCAAACCUGAGAACAUUUAUUCUUCUGGGGACCGCCAUCUUCAUCAUCUUGCCUUUAGCCCAGAAGCGCAACGUGGAGAGCCUCAGUGCUCUCAGUACAAUGUCUAUCUGCUUUUACUUCUUCUUUGCCACAAGUGUAUUUGUUGACAGUUUACCUAGGCUAGUAUCAUUGGAAUGGAUUAAUACUGUAGUGUUUUGGAGACCAGCGGGAAUCCUGAAGGGGAUGUCUAUCUUUGCCUUGUCUAUGUGUUGUCAAGCAACAUUAUUUCCAAUUUACAAUUCUCUGCAAGAGAGAACCCCCAAGAUGAUGGAAGAUGUUGUUUCCAAGGGGGUCAACUUGGUCGCAUUCGUCUACAUGGCGAUUGGAUUCUUUGGUUACAUCACCUACUACACGGACGGUAUCAAAGGGGAUAUUCUUCUUAAUCAACCCCCUUCCUUGAUCUCGGAUGGUCUAAAGCUCGGCUUUGCCCUCUCGGUGGCCCUCAGCUUCCCCCUCUGUGUGUUCCCCUGUAGAGCGAGCAUCUUCUCGCUUCUGUGCCCAAAUGCAGACAGUAACCCCAUCACCGGUAUGACCCACAUUCCUCCGAUCAUGUUCAGAGUCAUCACGGUAGUCAUCCUUGCCAUCACACUGACCAUAGCCAUCCUCAUACCAAAUGUUGAAGUAGUGUUAAGUCUGACUGGUGCCACCAUGGGCUCUCUAGCUUGUUUCAUCUUACCAGCACUCAUCUACCAGCAUACAGUGGGCGUCCCAACAAGAUUCAUGCCAAAGGUACUGCUCAUCAUUGGCAUCUGCUUCAUGCUGUUCAGCACCUAUGACAAUGUCCGCCCCGGCCCCCAGGAUCCCCACAUCCCCGCCCCGGUGCAGGUCUUUGACAAACUGGACAAGAUUCAGAUCGCGAAGCUGGAUGAAGCCCCCGUCGACGCCCUGGUGAAGAAGCCGGAUGGUGUUCUGGAGAAGUCAGCAGAAAAAAUGGGAUUACAAGGAGAUGAUGUAAUAAAAGAGAAAGAGCCAGCAGAUGCCGGUGAUAUAAUGGCAGCUGAGAGAGGAGAUGGUGAAGUGAAGAGGCAGGAGCCACCCAUCCCUCAUGCACCUGUAGAUUUACCAGAUAGUAAAGACAAGGCGAUUGAAGACGUCCUCAAGGUGGGAGAAGGGAAGGAGGGUGAAGGAGAGAAGGAUGAAGUUCAGCUGGAGGUUCCUGAAAAGAAGGUAGAAAAGGAGAAGGAAGCCGAGGGAGAUAGAGAUGGACGGGACCUAGAAGGCGAUGCUGGUGCUGGUAAGAAGGAAUCAAAAGAGAUUGCUGGAGAGACGGAGGAAAAGUUCAAAGUUCAAGAGGAGAAACAGGAAAUACAAGAGAAAAAGCUUGAGGAACUCCAGGCUCGUCAAGUAAUCCAAGAGAGACUGAUCGUCAAACAGGCCGAGGAGUUGGAUAUACUCAAGAAAGAGCAUGAAGACGAAAAACAGAAAGAUGAAGAUUUGCAAAAUGUAGCCGUCCAGUUGCAGCAGCAGCAAUUACCACAGCAACCUGCUGUUGUAGGUGACCUGCAACAGCCAGCAGGGCCAGGGGUGCGUUUGCAACCUGUGGCAGGCGGACAACCGAUCAUCGGACAACCACUGGAAAGACAAGUUGGUGAUCAACAACUACUUGGGCAACUAGGGCAACUGCAAGUCCCUGUACAACCUGUUGGGCAACUACCGGUGGCACAACAAGCUUUGGGGCAACUUCCAGUCGCACAACAAGCUUUGGGGCAACUUCCAGUCGCACAACAAGCUUUGGGGCAACUACCAGUCGCACAACAAGCUAUGGGGCAACUUCCAGUUGCACAACAAGCUUUGGGUCAACUUCCAGUCGCACAACAAGCUUUGGGGCAACUUCCAGUUGCACAACAAGCUUUGGGGCAACUUCCAAUGGGACAAGCUGCUGUACAGCCUCUUGCUGCACAGCAACUCGCAGGACAAGGGCAACAGCAAUUUGCACAACAACAGCAGUUGGGAGCAGCAGGGCAACAAGUUGUUCAGGUCGGUAUUCAAGGUGCUGGUGGCAUGGGGCAAAAUUUACCAGUGCAACAACAGCAUGCGGGUCUAGAGGGCAUGAACCAGGUAGCAGGAAUGGGUGGAGUGCUACCACAACAGCAACAGCAACAACAACUGAUGCAAGGAGGGGUGGCACAACAACAAGGUGUCCUGCUUGAUGUUGCUGGCAUGCAAGCUGCUGCUGUAGGUGGUGGUGGUGGUUUGGGGCAAGCUAACAUUAUGCAACAACAACAGCAACAAUUUCAACAACCUCAACAGGUUCCUCUUGCUUUACAGCAGCAGCAACAACUCUUACAACAGCCACCACAACAACAACAGCAGGUACUAAUGCAGCAACAACAGGUUCCUGUACAACAGAACCAGCAACCAGCUCUGCAGAUCUUACCCGAUACAAGGGAUGGUCUGCUGGGUGGUGGUGCUGCGAUGGGACAGCAACCGCUGCAACAACAGGGCAUGGUUGGAGGAGGAGGUGACGGUAUGGUGGCUAACGCAGGGUUUGCGGACAUGAAUCAGGCCCAGGGUGGCGCCGUGGUGGUGGAAGGUGGCAUACCACAACAGCCACAACAUGUCGAGAUGUUCAGAUUUUCAAAUCCGGCAGAUAAGAUGAUUAAAUCUGCGGAUAAAGUUGCCAUUUUGGAACCCGGGCAAGACCUGAACCUGGCCGGUAUUCAGCAGAGAGUUCUCAAUCAGGCUGGAGCGGACGGAGAUAAGGAGAGCAAGAAACAAGAGAAGGAGGAGCAAAAAGAAGAGGGGAAGGAAGGAGAGAGUGAUGGAGUGAUCCAAAUUGUGGGUGAGGAGGAGGAGGCGGAGGAGGCGGAGGAAGGGAUAGGGAAAGGGAAUGGGGAUGGGGAUGUGGUCCCGGCGUUGGAGGAGGAGAGGGGCGGGGCCAUUGCAGAUUUGAAGGAUACCGGUAACCAGGAACUUGAUAAACCGGAGAAAAAGAGAAGACACAAGAAAGGGAAACGAAGUAAUGGAGAAACUGAGAGAAGAGAGGAGGAUGAGGAGGAGGAGGAGGAAGAAGAAGAGGAGGAGAAAGAAAACGAUGGGAACCAAGGAGCACCCCUAGAUGAUGCAGAACGUCCAGAAGACCAGCUCCAGGGGAUGGAAGACAAACUCCUGGAGAACCAUCUGAAGAUGAUAGAUCACCAGGAGGAGGAGGAGUUUGCUGAUCAGGAGGAUGUGAUUGAUGUCAACGAGAAAGAUGCGGAUGAGGGUAAGAUCGAGAUGAACCAGGAGCAAAAUGAUCCUCCUCAGGAGAAGAAGAUCAUCCGGAGCAGAGAGGUAAGAUGAUGGAUCUCAAGAGCUGUUCGUUUGUUUCUUUCCUGGAAACAGCACUUUCAGUAGUUCAUUAACUAACCAUAUAAUACACAUAUUUGAAAACUCGCCUUGAAAAUGCAGCUUGCACAUAUUUGAGGAAACUCUUUUAACCUAACUGGCUGAAAGAACACUAUCAAACCAAGGAUAUACUCAUGCUUUAACAUUGAUUGCAAGAAAGGCAAUGCAAUAGGUAAGAUUAUAACAGGCCAAAUGCUCAUCCAUUUAGGCUUAUACAUGUAUUUAAUUUUGAGCUUGUAAUUACAAAUAUUGGGCAGAUUUCUCUCAUUUACUUAAAAUUUGGAGAAAAAUAUUUCUAGCAUGACAGGAUUAGGGUGUAUGGAAGUUUUAAGGAAAAUACCUGACGAUUUUCAACACACACAUGACUCCUUUUUUUUUUAAACAGUGAAAAGGAAAUUUUAAUGCUUAAAGUCCUUCACUUUGAUCACUAAUUGUCUUCAUAUUAAAGAGAAAAUUCAAAAUUGGCAACUUCACCAACCGUUACUGUAGCCCUGAAGUUUAAAGUUAACUCGAAUGUAGUCAAGUACCUUAGAAUUUCCAGUAGUGUAUGCAUGUAUGUCUCUACAAUAUAAGAAACUACAUGUAUAUUGGCUAAUAUGUUAGAUCAUUAUCUUAGGAUUAUGCAUGCUUCUUUAAUUAAUCUUUCAUUUUUACAACUUUUUAAACACAAUUAUCCUGAACAAAUUUAUUUCAAUAACUGUUUUAUUCAUCACCCAUUCAGUAUAUAUUUCUCUUUUAUCAUUACAUUCACUGCAAUUCUGUGCAAUGUGAAAUAAUUUGAGGUAUAGUAGGACUGGGGAUAAUUAUGAAGAUAAUCAUCAUCCUGUUCAGGGACCCAACAUGCAGCUGUAUCACAUGUCUUCAGAGAGCAAUGGAUCAAGAAGAAAAAAAAAUUCCAUACAUCUAUUUUUCUAUUCAAAAAAA